rnacentral:lncRNA from 1 species
UUAUUGAUCUUUCAAGCUUGACGGGGUAAGAAUAUCGGUUAAUAUUAAUCUUGUGUUUGUUGAUCAAUAAUGCUUUAUGGAGUUUGAUUAUCACAUGAAAAACGUUUUCAAAUCAGUAUAAAAAAAAUAAACUUCAGUUGACUUCAGGUUAUUAAAGAACAAGCUGAUAGCUAGAUCAAAAUAAAAGAAAAGAGAGUCAAAACUAAGUGAUUUUAAAAAAUAGAUUAGACUUCACUAUAUAGCAAGAUAAAGUUAAAUGAAUACAUCAUUAAAGACAUAAUUUAGUCCCAGUACUUCUGUAACUAUAUUG